UACGAAGGGGGCUAGCGUUGCUCGGAAUCACUGGGCGUAAAGCGCACGUAGGCGGAUUGCUAAGUCAGGGGUGAAAUCCUGGAGCUCAACUCCAGAACUGCCCUUGAUACUGGCGGUCUCGAGUCCGGGAGAGGUGAGUGGAACUGCGAGUGUAGAGGUGAAAUUCGUAGAUAUUCGCAAGAACACCAGUGGCGAAGGCGGCUCACUGGCCCGGUACUGACGCUGAGGUGCGAAAGAGUGGGGAGCAAACAGG
rnacentral:rRNA from 1 species